UCGCUAGUAAUCGCGGAUCAGCAUGCCGCGGUGAAUACGUUCCCGGGCCUUGUACACACCGCCCGUCACACCACGAGAGUUGGCAACACCCGAAGUCGGUGAGGUAACCUUUUUGGAGCCAGCCGCCGAAGGUGGGGCCAAUGAUUGGGGUGAAGUCGUAACAAGGUAGCCGUAUCGGAAGGUGCGGCUGGAUCACCUCCUUU
rnacentral:rRNA from 3 species